rnacentral:rRNA from 1 species
GAUGAACGCUGGCGGCGUGCCUAAUACAUGCAAGUCGAGCGAACAGACGAGGAGCUUGCUCCUCUGACGUUAGCGGCGGACGGGUGAGUAACGCGUGGAUAACCUACCUAUAAGACUGGGAUAACUUCGGGAAACCGGAGCUAAUACCGGAUAAUAUAUUGAACCGCAUGGUUCAAUAGUGAAAGACGGUUUUGCUGUCACUUAUAGAUGGAUCCGCGCCACAUUAGCUAGUUGGUAAGGUAACGGCUUACCAAGGCAACGAUGCGUAGCCGACCUGAGAGGGUGAUCGGCCACACUGGAACUGAGACACGGUCCAGACUCCUACGGGAGGCAGCAGUAGGGAAUCUUCCGCAAUGGGCGAAAGCCUGACGGAGCAACGCCGCGUGAGUGAUGAAGGUCUUCGGAUCGUAAAACUCUGUUAUUAGGGAAGAACAAAUGUGUAAGUAACUAUGCACGUCUUGACGGUACCUAAUCAGAAAGCCACGGCUAACUACGUG